rnacentral:rRNA from 1 species
CAGCCGCCGCGGUAAUACGAAGGGUGCAAGCGUUACUCGGAAUUACUGGGCGUAAAGCGUGCGUAGGUGGUGGUUUAAGUCCGUUGUGAAAGCCCUGGGCUCAACCUGGGAAUUGCAGUGGAUACUGGAUCACUAGAGUGUGGUAGAGGAUAAUGGAAUUUCCGGUGUAGCAGUGAAAUGCGUAGAGAUCGGAAGGAACAUCUGUGGCGAAGGCGACUAUCUGGGCCAACACUGACACUGAGGCACGAAAGCGUGGGGAGCAAACAGGAUUAGAUACCCCUGUAGUCCCUGUCUCUUAUAC